ensembl:lincRNA 4930459L07Rik uncharacterized LOC110330241
CCUAAUGAUGUUUUGCUGGGGCAGACAGGUGAAAGGAUGUUUUUGCUAAAAUGAGCAAAUUCUAGUCAAGGAAAACUAACAAAGAUUCUCCAUCACAUGUCAGGGUAAAAUGUGGAUUUUGUACUGAAAACAGGAUUGGAAUAUUUCACCUUUCUUACACAAAACAGAGAACCUUGGAACUUUCAGUAGGUAAACUAUGUUUGGACAUAAAUACAACACAAUUGUAUAUAAUUAUCAAAUUCAAUAUUUACUCAAAGGAUAAAGGCCUGGCUGGGGACAAGUUUCAUGGUGAUAUGCUGAAGAUUAUAAAACAGUGUCAUACAAUGAACCUGGAACAAAUAAUAUAUUUAUAUUGGACAUUAUGAGACAAAAUUAAACCCUUUUGCUCCUUUCUGUAAUAAACCAAGUACAUGGGAA